rnacentral:rRNA from 1 species
GAUGAACGCUGGCGGCGUGCUUAACACAUGCAAGUCGAGCGAACAGACGAGGCGUUUGCUCCUCUGACGUUAGCGGCGGACGGGUGAGUAACACGUGUAUAAUCUACCUAUAAGACUGGGAUAAUCUCGGGAAACCGGAGCUAAUACCGGAUAAUAUAUUGAUCCGCAUGGUUCAAUAGUGAAAGACGGUUUUUGUGUCUCUUAUCGAUGGUUCUCCGCCGCAUUAGCUAGUUGGUAGGGUAACGGCUUACCAAGGCUACCAUGCGUAGACGACCGGAGAGAGGGGUAGGCCACACGAGAACUGGGACAGGGACAAGGCUCCUGCGGGAGGCAGCAGUAGGGAAUGUGCGGCAGUGGGCGGGAGCCUGACAGAACGGCGCCGCGUGAGAGAUGAAGGUGUUGGGAGCGUGAAGCUCUGUUAUGGGGGGAAAACAGAUGUGUAAGUAGAUGUGCAGGUCGUGACGGUACCUGGUCAAGAAGCCACGGCUAACUACGUG